UACAGAAUCCCCGAGCGUUACCCGGAUUUAUUGGGCGUAAAGGGUUCGUAGGUGGUAAAGUAAGUUACAAAUUAAACUUCAUCGGCUUAACCUUUGAACUGUUUGUAAUACUGCUAUACUAAGAGGGCGUUAGAGGCUAACGGAACCGACAGAGUAGGGGUGAAAUCCGUUGAUAUUGUCGGGAACACCAAAUGCGAAGGCAGUUAGCUGGGACGACCCUGACACUGAGGAACGAAAGCGUGGGGAGCAAAAAGG
rnacentral:rRNA from 1 species